rnacentral:rRNA from 1 species
UACGGGGGGGGCAAGCGUUGUUCGGAAUUACUGGGCGUAAAGGGCUCGUAGGCGGCCAACUAAGUCAGACGUGAAAUCCCUCGGCUUAACCGGGGAACUGCAUCUGAUACUGGAUGGCUUGAGUUCGGGAGAGGGAUGCGGAAUUCCAGGUGUAGCGGUGAAAUGCGUAGAUAUCUGGAGGAACACCGGUGGCGAAGGCGGCAUCCUGGACCGACACUGACGCUGAGGAGCGAAAGCUAGGGGAGCGAACGGG